rnacentral:lncRNA from 1 species
UCUUCCUAGAAUGAACUAGAAGUGACAACUCUCAUUCCUUUCCCUUGGUCAAGACUAAGAGGGAAAUCCGCUCCCACCCACAUGGGUUCAGCUGAGGACACUGUUAGCUGGAGGUGUCAGCCCAGCCUCUUGCUUAGGCAGUGCCUUGGGUCUGGUCCAGGAUCCAACAUGGGUGAUGAUUUGUGUGGCAGACGCCUGAUAGGUGAAUACCUGGUGAAAUGAUAUUCUUGGAGUUUUGUACUUGUGAAAAGGGGAACUCAGGUGUCCUUCUUUCCCACUGCCAAACAAAAGGGACUUGCAACUCAUGGUACUGAUGAUAGCCAAUUCACAGGUUUUCAAAGGCCCCA